GUAKAGAUGGCUGAGUGGUUGAUAGCCCCGGAUAUUGUCAACUGGUAUAAUUUCU
rnacentral:tRNA from 1 species